rnacentral:lncRNA from 1 species
GGAUGGCUUCCCUCCUUGUGGACAGAGUGAGUCUCUGCUAUGAGAAAGACCCGUGUUGGAGCCACACUGCCCGGGACAGCCCUGAAGCAGCCACGUCCCCACCUUUCAGGAGUCGGCCAAGAGCACGGUGGCUGCAGAAGGCCCUGGCUGAUGGAGAUAACAUUUGACAAACAGGUGCUUUUCCAAUUAUGGAUAACAACAGAAAAGCAGUCAUUGGUUUCUAAAAGGUCAUCAAGAUAUAAAGCCCGUUUGGGAAGGGAAUGACUUACGCAGUGGGCUUGUAUAAAUCUGGAGAAGUUUUAUGCACAAGUCGGACAAGAAAUGUGUUCUACAUACGGCUCGGGAGCCAGCAAGUGCGUAUGAAGCCCCUUCACAUGGCUAGUGGCAUCCUAAGGACCCGGCGACAAUUAGUCAUGGCGUCAUCGAACACCAGGCUGGAGGAGGUCUUGGAUGCCACAGCUCCUUUUGAAUUUCAAAGACGUUCAAAUCCCCAUCUGGCUGUUACACUUUUAGGCUAUUGAGAGUGAAAACAAGCACUGACAUGAACACCCAACCAGCUGCCGGUGACAUCGUCCCCUUCUGAGAUCUGAGGACAUGGAUACCCAACCACCUGCCGGUGACAUCGUCUCCUUCUGAGAUCUGAGGACAUGAACACCCAACCACCUGCCGGUGAUAUCGUCCCCUUCUGAGAUCUGAGGACGUGGAUAUCCAACCACCUGCCGGUGACAUUGUCUCCUUCUGAGAUCUGAGGACAUGGACACCAAACCACCUGCCGGUGACAUUGUCUCCUUCUGAGAUCUGAGGACAUGAACACCAAACCACCUGCCAGUGACAUCGUCCCCUUCUGAGAUCUGAGGACAUGGAUACCCAACCACCUGCCGGUGACAUCGUCUCCUUCUGAGAUCUGAGGACAUGGACACCCAACCACCUGCCGGUGACAUCGUCUCCUUCUGAGAUCUGAGGACAUGAACACCCAACCACCUGCCGGUGAUAUCGUCCCCUUCUGAGAUCUGAGGACGUGGAUAUCCAACCACCUGCCGGUGACAUUGUCUCCUUCUGAGAUCUGAGGACAUGGACACCAAACCACCUGCCGGUGACAUUGUCUCCUUCUGAGAUCUGAGGACAUGAACACCAAACCACCUGCCAGUGACAUCGUCCCCUUCUGAGAUCUGAGGACAUGGAUACCCAACCACCUGCCGGUGACAUCAUCUUCUUCUGAGAUCUGAGGACAUGGACACCCAACCACCUGCCGGUGACAUCGUCUCCUUCUGAGAUCUGAGGACAUGGACACCAAACCACCUGCCGGUGACAUCGUCUCCUUCUGAGAUCUGAGGACAUGAACACCCAACCACCUGCCGGUGAUAUCGUCCCCUUCUGAGAUCUGAGGACGUGGAUAUCCAACCACCUGCCGGUGACAUUGUCUCCUUCUGAGAUCUGAGGACAUGGACACCAAACCACCUGCUGGUGACAUUGUCUCCUUCUGAGAUCUGAGGACAUGAACACCAAACCACCUGCCAGUGACAUCGUCCCCUUCUGAGAUCUGAGGACAUGGAUACCCAACCACCUGCCGGUGACAUCAUCUUCUUCUGAGAUCUGAGGACAUGGACACCCAACCACCUGCCGGUGACAUCGUCUCCUUCUGAGAUCUGAGGACAUGGACACCAAACCACCUGCCGGUGACAUCGUCUCCUUCUGAGAUCUGAGGACAUGAACACCCAACCACCUGCCGGUGACAUCGUCCCCUUCUGAGAUCUGAGGACAUUGAUACCCAGCCACCUGCCGGUGACAUCGUCUCCUUCUGAGAUCUGAGGAUAUGGACACCAAACCACCUGCCGGUGACAUCGUCUCCUUCUGAGAUCUGAGGACAUGAACACCCAACCACCUGCCGGUGACAUCGUCCCCUUCUGAGAUCUGAGGACAUGGAUACCCAACCACCUGCCGGUGACAUCGUCUCCUUCUGAGAUCUGAGGACAUGGACACCCAACCUGCUGCUGGUGACAUCGUUCCCUUCUGAGAUCUGAGGACAUGGACACCAAACCACCUGCCAGUGACAUCGUCUCCUUCUGAGAUCUGAGGACAUGGACACCAAACCUGCUGCCGGUGACAUCGUCCCCUUCUGAGAUCUGAGGACAUGGACACCCAACCACCUGCCGGUGACAUCGUCUCCUUCUGAGGUCUGAGGACAGACACUCACAUGGACACCUAAACACCUGCCGAUGAUAUUGUCUCCUUCUGAAAUCUGAGGACAUGGACACCCAACCAGCUGCUGGUGACAUCAUCUCCUUCUGAGAUCUGAGGACAGACACUCACAUAGACGCCCAAUCAGCUGCUGGUGACAUUGUCUCCUUCUGAAAUCUGAGGGUUGGAACACAUUGGCCUGGCUCAGUGUUUCUCCAUGUGGUUUUGAGACCACCUGAGUUGGAACCGAUAUGGGUUCCCAGCCUCACGCCUGGAGAGCUGGAUUUUGCGAGUGUGAGGUUAGGUCCAGCAUCUGCAUGUGUAACGAGCUCCCAGGUGUUUCGUAGAUGCAUUAGGGCUUGAGAAGCUCCUUUCUAGCACCAUCUUCCUUUUUGCGCAUGAGGGAGUUCAGGUCCAGAGAAAUAAAGCAGCAAGGUUAGUGGCACAGCUGGCGCCCCCUGCUUUCUAGGAAUUUAGAAUAUUAUUGAAGAGAGAGGUAUUAGAACCUGUGAAGUCAAUACAGAGACCUCCAGGCGAGUGGCAUCCUCACUGAAACCACUGACAAGUAUGCUGAAUAGAAAGUGUCAUUUCUCCUGGAAGACCCUCAGUGACCCAGCUGGAGGGUCUCUCCUACUCAUCAGCUGUCCCUCACUCUGCCAUUUCAGCAGCUCUGCUCACCCUGAGCAUGCAGAGAGAGCAGCUUUUAAAUGAGUUCUAAUCCAGACCAGCUUGGCUAGCAUUGUCUGUGUAGAGGUGUGCUAGUAAGUCUAACAACUGGCUCUCUGAGAGAGAGUAGCCCUACCUAACUGGUAGCAUUUGCCACUUCCCAUGGUGUAAAUACUCCCAGCAUGGCCAACUUCAAGCUUACUAAGAGGAUUUCGCUGAUCAUGGUUUUGGGGAGAGAUGUGCAGAUUGACUCCUGCCAGCUAGUAGGAGCCGGCUCCAGCACACCACGGCAUCUGUGUCCAGGAACCAGGCUGAGAUGUGGGAAGGCCAGAGAAGGAGGAGGCUGGCAGAUGCCUGAGGGCUGGGAAGGAUUGCAUCCAGGAGGACGGCCGUGGUGGGCAUCCCUGCAUUGGGGGGCAGCCGGGCCCAAGAUCCAGGGGGACAGAAAGCACAAAUGGUGCUGGGGUUCAGUGCCACACUCACCCUGGGGCAGAGGAGGGUGACACUGGCCCUGCCACCUGACCUCAGCCUCAGGGGCUCCAGAUCCUAGCCAGAGGCCUUGAGUGCUUCCUGCCACAAAGGCAGGGGGUGGCCUGGGAUUUCCUCUCUGAUCGGAGCUGAUGUUUCCCUCCAGGAAACCAUCCCUGCUCACCUUGCUAGGCCUGGGGCAAGUUGGAGUGAAGGGCAGGUCCCUCAGCCUUGCCUUUGAGACCUUACCUUCCACUUCAUUCCCGUCUGUGGCUCUCAUUCCUUCCCCACCCCUGCCCUAUGCUCUGGUGAGAAGGUGCAACCCUGUGAGCCCCCAUAGCAAGGUUCACUCCAGCCGUGCUUUCUGCUUGCUUUUGGUUUGUGAAAACCCUCCACUUUCUUAGAGGCCUUCUGCAAAUGUCAUUUCUUCAUAAGGAUCUUCCUACCCCGCCCGAGCCAGGGAGAUCCCUCCCUUCUCUGAGCCUAGAGCACCAUGUCCCUUCCCUGUAGCCCUGGUGACGUGCACCCUGGAUGGUGGCCCUUCCAGUGACAUGGAGGAUGUUUUCCCUCUACAGACACUGUCUGGUUUUAGGAUCCCGGAGCCAGGCAUCUCGCUCACCCCUGUAGCCACCACAGCAUUCAGCCCUGCAGCCUGGGACCUUGCUAAGGUCUUGCUUUACCCCUAAAAACCAAAAAUAGUGUGUCACCUUUAGCAGUGAUUGCCAACGCCUCUGGAGUGCUGGCUGGGACAGGCAUCUCUAUUUUCAUCCUCACCAAUCCUGCCAGGGAGCUACUCUGGGGAGCCCCAUCCUGCUGAUGAAUGACCGAGUCUCGCAGCGAUGACGGAACCUGCAGGUCCCAGGCUUGGGCCCAGGUCUGUCUUUCUCCAGGGGCCUCACAUCCAUCUCCUUCCCAGCUCUCCUUUUCUGUAAGACUUCACAGAACAGGUUCAAAAUCCAUUUGCUGGCCGAGCACAGUGGUUCACGCCUGUAAUCCAGCACUGUGGGAGGCCUCGAGGCAGGUGGAUCACCUGAGGUCAGGAGUUCGAGACCAGCCUGGCCAACAUGGCGAAACCCCAUCUCUACUAAAA